AGAGUUUGAUCAUGGCUCAGGACGAACGCUGGCGGCGUGCCUAAAACAUGCAAGUCGAACGGAGGCAGCAAUGCCUCAGUGGCGAACGGCGGAGUAAUACGUAAGCAACGUGCCCUAAAGAUCGGGAUAGUCAGUGGAAACGCUGGGUAAUACCGGAUGUGGCGGACAGGAGGCAUCUUCAGUCCACUAAAUGGUUUUUCGCUUUAGGAGCGGCUUACGGCCUAUCAGGUAGUUGGUGAGGUAAUGGCUCACCAAGCCGACGACGGGUAGCGGGUCUGAGAGGAUGAUCCGCUCGAGUGGGACUGAGACACGGCCCACACACCUACGGGUGGCAGCAGUUGGGAAUCUUGCACAAUGGGGGAAACCCUGAUGCAGCGACGCCGCGUGGAGGAUGAAGGAUCUAGGUCUGUAAACUCCUUUUAUCGGGAAAGACUUAGGACGGUACCCGAUGAAUAAGGACCGGCUAACUACAUGCCAGCAGCCGCGGUAAGACGUAGGGUCCAAGCGUUGUCCGGAUUUACUGGGCGUAAAGAGCGCGUAGGCGGUCUGUUAAGUGAGAAGUGAAAUCUCCAGGGCUCAACCCGGAAACUGCUUUUCAUACUGGCAGACUUGAGGGAUGCAGAGGUAUGUGGAAUUCCUGGUGUAACGGUGAAAUGUGUUGAUAUCAGGAGGAACACCCAUGGCGAAGGCAGCAUACUGGGCAUCAUCUGACGCUGAGGCGCGAAAGCGUGGGUAGCAAACAGGAUUAGAUACCCCAGUAGUCC
rnacentral:rRNA from 1 species